rnacentral:rRNA from 1 species
CCAAUAGCGUAUAUUAAAGUUGUUGCAGUUAAAAAGCUCGUAGUUGAAUUUCGGAAUCAAUUUGUUGGUCGUGCCUUGGUACGUACUGGCAUUAUUGGUUUCUCCCUUCUGAGAAUCCUUGAUGGCAUUAAUUUGGUGUCUUGGGGAAUCAGGACUGUUACCUUGAAAAAAUUAGAGUGUUUAAAGCAGGCAUACGCUUGAAUACAUUAGCAUGGAAUAAUGAAAUAGGACGUUCGAUUCUAUUUUGUUGGUUUCUAGGAUCGAUGUAAUGAUUAAUAGGGAUAGUUGGGGGCAUUAGUAUUCAAUUGUCAGAGGUGAAAUUCUUGGAUUUAUUGAAGACUAACUACUGCGAAAGCAUUUGCCAAGGAUGUUUUCAUUAAUCAAGAAUGAAAGUUAGGGGAUCGAAGACGAUCAGAUACCGUCGUAGUCUUAACCAUAAACUAUGCCGACUAGGGAUCGGAUGAUGUUAAUUUUUUAAUGACUCAUUUGGCGCCUUAC